rnacentral:lncRNA from 1 species
GGAGCCGGGGACGUCAGUCACAUAAGGCUUAGAGGAUCAAGUAUCCUGCCCAGAUGACUUACCGAAAUGUUACAGAUUAAGUUGGUGUGGUAACCUGCGCUGAGCACUCUGGGAGAGGAAGAGAAGAGAGAAGACAAGAAACAACUGAACUAUGACCAAUCCCAGCACGGAGGCCCAGAAAACUUUAAGAUUUGAGUAUUAAUGUCUCAAGGUCAGGAGCAACCUCAAGGCUAAAACUCAGAUCUCAGGACUCAAUUUCACAGAAGUUCCACUAUAAAGGCAAUAAUCUAAAGCUUUAAAUGAUAUGAAAAUUUUGUAAUAAGAGUUCAGUAUUUCUGCCAACAUUGGCGCAUGGUUUGCAAAGUUCACAGGAUUGAAAACACCAUCGACAUAAUGGAAAUUGAACAGCAUCUGAUUACUGAGUGCUAUAUCAGCAAGUUAAAAGGAUCUUUUGCAUACCUUUUAAUGGUAUAUAUCCUAAAACUGAAGUGUUCAAUAUAGACAUCCAGAUUGAAACUCAGGCAGUGAAUUACAUACACAACAAAUCAGUUGAACAUGGCAGAGCUUGUCAGACUUAUGAAAGAUUAAAUACAUUUUACAUUUCCACAAGUGUGGUAUUCACAGGUCUAAAUUGGAAAAUUCUUGGGUUGAAGAAGUAUAAUCAUAAUCUUAGCUUCGCUCAUUGAGGAAACAUUAUUCAGGGAUGAUAAGAGGUAAAACCUUAAAAAUAUUGACAAGCUAAUGAGAGAACUUUGAGGUAAGCUGAUAUGCAGGUAUAGUUAGGACCGGGAAAAGCAAGAAAAUGGUAGGAUGGGUUAGAGGGUGGCACUACACGGCUGAUAUAGUUUGGAUAUCUGUCCCUACCCAAAUCUGAUGUUAAAUUGGAAUCCCCAAUUCUGGAGGCAGAGCUAGAAGGCAGAGCCUGGUGGAAGAUGUUUGCAACAUGGGGAAGGAUCCCUCAUGGCUUGGUGCUGUCUUAACAAUAAUGAGUGAGUUCUCCCGAGAUCUAGUCAUUUAAAAGGGUGUGGCACCUCCCCCCCACCCCCCACCAACUCUCUCUUGCUCCUACUCUGCCAUAUGAAUGUCUGUUCCCCCUUUGCCUUCAGCCAUGAUUAGAAGCUUCAUUAGGACUCCUCAGAAGUAGAUGUUGGUGCCAUACUUCCUGUAUAGCCUGUAGUACCAUGAACCUCUUCGCUUUAUAAAUUACCUGGUCUUGAGGAUUUCUUUAUAGCAAUGCAAGAAUGACCUAAUACAGAAAACUGGUACCGAGAAGUGAGUCAUUGCUGUAGAGAUACCUGAAAAUGUAGAAGCAGCUUUGGAACUUGGUAACAGGCAGAGGUUGGAAGAGUUUGUAGGGCUCAGAAGAAGACAGAAAGACGAGGGAAAGUUUGGAAUUUCUUAGGGACUGGUUAAAUGGUUGUGACCAAAAUGCUGAUAGCUAGGCCAUGAACAGAAUGCACCCAAGCACUUUGCUAAGGCAAAACAUGCGUGACCUUUGCUCUAGUUCCCAAUAAGUUCCUUAUUUCCAUUCAAGACCUCAGAAGCCUGGACUUCAAACCAAAAUGCUGAUAGUGAUGUGAACAGUGAAGUCCAGGCUGCUGAGGCCUCAGAUGGAAAUUAGGAACUUACUGGGAACUAGAGCAAAGGUCACACAAUGUUACGCCUUAGCAAAGAGCUUGGCUGCAUUCUGUUCAUGCCCUAGGAAUCUGUGGAAGUUUGAACUUGAGAGUGAUGAUUUAGGGUAUCUGGCCGAAGAAAUGUCUAAGCAGGAAAGUGAUCAAGAAGUGGUGUGGCUGCUUCUAGCA